GCAAAGGGAAUGAGGUUCUCCCUUAGCAAUAUGCUAAAACCGCUGAUAAAAGCUGAUGACUUCUGCAUU
rnacentral:ncRNA from 1 species